CUGAUGCAGCGACGCCGCGUGAGGGAUGACGGCCUUCGGGUUGUAAACCUCUUUCAGUAGGGAAGAAGCGAAAGUGACGGUACCUGCAGAAGAAGCGCCGGCUAACUACGUGCCAGCAGCCGCGGUAAUACGUAGGGCGCAAGCGUUAUCCGGAAUUAUUGGGCGUAAAGAGCUCGUAGGCGGUUUGUCGCGUCUGCUGUGAAAGACCGGGGCUCAACUCCGGUUCUGCAGUGGGUACGGGCAGACUAGAGUGCAGUAGGGGAGACUGGAAUUCCUGGUGUAGCGGUGAAAUGCGCAGAUAUCAGGAGGAACACCGAUGGCGAAGGCAGGUCUCUGGGCUGUAACUGACGCUGAGGAGCGAAAGCAUGGGGAGCGAACAGGAUUAGAUACCCUGGUAGUCCAUGCCGUAAACGUUGGGCACUAGGUGUGGGGGACAUUCCACGUUUUCCGCGCCGUAGCUAACGCAUUAAGUGCCCCGCCUGGGGAGUACGGCCGCAAGGCUAAAACUC
rnacentral:rRNA from 1 species